rnacentral:rRNA from 1 species
AUGAGGGACAACACUUGGGUGAGAAAGGUCAACCCUUCCGUGGAGCUCACUUUGAGCCACAUCAUCGAGUUUGUGGACCUUCGGGUCCGCCUGGAGCACUCCCAUCUUCAUUCGGAUGCGGAAGAUAACAUCUUGUUGAAAUUUGAGACCAACGGCGAGUACUCGGCGACGUCUGCAUACAAGGCACAAUUCCUAGGCUCCAUGUUGACCACCAUGAAGAAGACGGUUUGGAAGGAUUGGGCUCCCCCCAAGGUCAAGUUAUUCGCCUGGCUAGCGCUGCCAAAUAGGUAUCAGACUAUGGGCCAACAACAAAUGGGGAUGGCCUGA